AUUGAACGCUGGCGGCAGGCCUAACACAUGCAAGUCGAACGAGUGGCGGACGGGUGAGUAAUGUCUGGGAAACUGCCUGAUGGAGGGGGAUAACUACUGGAAACGGUAGCUAAUACCGCAUACAAUAGAUGUUGCCAGAAUGGGUUGAGCUAGUUGGUGGGGUAACGGCUCCCAAAGGCGACGAUCCCUAGCUGGUCUGAGAGGAUGACCAGCCACACUGGAACUGAGACACGGUCCAGACUCCUACGGGAGGCAGCAGUGGGGAAUAUUGCACAAUGGGCGCAAGCCUGAUGCAGCCAUGCCGCGUGUAUGAAGAAGGCCUUCGGGUUGUAAAGUACUUUCAGCGGGGAGGCGUUACCCGCAGAAGAAGCACCGGCUAACUCCGUGCCAGCAGCCGCGGUAAUAC
rnacentral:rRNA from 1 species